UCCUACGGGAGGCAGCAGUGGGGGAUAUUGCACAAUGGGGGGAACCCUGAUGCAGCGACGCCGCGUGGGUGAAGAAGCGCCUCGGCGCGUAAAGCCCUGUCAGCAGGGAAGAAAAUGACGGUACCUGACUAAGAAGCCCCGGCUAACUACGUGCCAGCAGCCGCGGUAAUACGUAGGGGGCAAGCGUUAUCCGGAUUUACUGGGUGUAAAGGGAGCGUAGACGGCGGAACAAGUCAGAAGUGAAAACCCGGGGCUCAACCCUGGGAGUGCUUUUGAAACUGUUUGGCUGGAGUGCAGGAGAGGUA
rnacentral:rRNA from 1 species